AUUGAACGCUGGCGGCAGGCCUAACACAUGCAAGUCGAACGGUAACAGGAAGCAGCUUGCUGCUUUGCUGACGAGUGGCGGACGGGUGAGUAAUGUCUGGGAAACUGCCUGAUGGAGGGGGAUAACUACUGGAAACGGUAGCUAAUACCGCAUAACGUCGCAAGACCAAAGAGGGGGACCUUAGGGCCUCUUGCCAUCGGAUGUGCCCAGAUGGGAUUAGCUAGUAGGUGGGGUAACGGCUCACCUAGGCGACGAUCCCUAGCAGGUCUGAGAGGAUGACCAGCCACACUGGAACUGAGACACGGUCCAGACUCCUACGGGAGGCAGCAGUGGGGAAUAUUGCACAAUGGGCGCAAGCCUGAUGCAGCCAUGCCGCGUGUAUGAAGAAGGCCUUCGGGUUGUAAAGUACUUUCAGCGGGGAGGAAGGGAGUAAAGUUAAUACCUUUGCCCAUUGACGUUACCCGCAGAAGAAGCACCGGCUAACUCCGUG
rnacentral:rRNA from 1 species